rnacentral:tRNA from 1 species
GGGAAGGUGGCUCAGUGGUAGAGUGCUUGCCUGGCAUGCAUGAGGCCCUGGGUUUGCUUCCCCA